rnacentral:rRNA from 1 species
CCUACGGGAGACAGCAGUAGGGAAUUUUCGGCAAUGGGGGGAACCCUGACCGAGCAACGCCGCGUGAACGAAGAAGUUAUUCGUAAUGUAAAGUUCUUUUAACAGGGAAGAAAGAGAAAUUUGACGGUACCUGAAGAAUAAGCUCCGGCUAACUACGUGCCAGCAGCUGCGGUAAUACGUAGGGAGCGAGCGUUAUCCGGAAUUAUUGGGCGUAAGGGGUGCGUAGGUGGCAGAGUAAGUCGUUGGGAAAAAUGCUGGGCUCAAGCCAGUAGGGCAAAAGAUACUGCAAAGCUAGAGUAUGACAGAGGCAAGUGGAACUAGAGGUGUAGCGGUAAAAUGCGUAGAUAUAUGUAAGAACACCAGUGGCGAAGGCGGCUUGCUGGGUCGAUACUGACAUUGAGGCACGAAAGCGUGGGGAGCAAACAGGAUUAGAUACCCGAGUAGUC